rnacentral:rRNA from 1 species
UCGAGAAUAAUUCACAAUGGGGGAAACCCUGAUGGUGCAACGCCGCGUGGAGGAUGAAGGUCUUCGGAUUGUAAACUCCUGUCAUCUGGGAGUAAGACCUGGCGGUAAAUAGCCGACAGGGUUGAUAGUACCAGAAGAGGAAGGGACGGCUAACUUCGUGCCAGCAGCCGCGGUAAUACGAAGGUCCCAAGCGUUGUUCGGAAUCACUGGGCGUAAAGGGAGCGUAGGCGGCGUGGUAAGUCAGAUGUGAAAUCCCGGGGCUCAACCCCGGAACUGCAUCCGAUACUGCCAUGCUAGAGUGAUGGAGAGGUAGCUGGAAUUCUUGGUGUAGCAGUGAAAUGCGUGGAGAUCAAGAGGAACACUCGUGGCGAAAGCGAGCUACUGGACAUUUACUGACGCUGAGGCUCGAAGGCCAGGGUAGCGAA